rnacentral:rRNA from 1 species
CCGCGUGGGGGAAGAAGGCUCUUGGGUUGUAACUCCUUUUCUCUGGGAAGAACAAAAUGACGGUACCAGAGGAAUCAGCAUCGGCUAACUCCGUGCCAGCAGCCGCGGUAAGACGGAGGAUGCAAGCGUUAUCCGGAAUGAUUGGGCGUAAAGCGUCCGCAGGUGGCAGUUCAAGUCUGCUGUCAAAGACCGGGGCUUAACCUCGGAAAGGCAGUGGAAACUGAACAGCUAGAGUAUGGUAGGGGCAAAGGGAAUUCCUGGUGUAGCGGUGAAAUGCGUAGAGAUCAGGAAGAACAUCGGUGGCGAAGGCGCUUUGCUGGACCAUAACUGACACUCAGGGACGAAAGCUAGGGGAGCGAAUGGGAUUAGA